rnacentral:tRNA from 1 species
GGGCAUGUAGCUCAGUGGACUAGAGCACAUGGCUACGAACCAUGUGGCCGGGGGUUCGAAUCCCUCCUUGCUCA